rnacentral:rRNA from 2 species
GCAUAUCAAUAAGCGGAGGAAAAGAAACCAACAGGGAUUGCCUUAGUAACGGCGAGUGAAGCGGCAAAAGCUCAAAUUUGAAAUCUGGCACUUUCAGUGUCCGAGUUGUAAUUUGAAGAAGGUAACUCUGGAGUUGGCCCUUGUCUAUGUUCCUUGGAACAGGACGUCACAGAGGGUGAGAAUCCCGUGCGAUGGGGUGUCCAAUUCUAUGUAGAGUGCUUUCGAAGAGUCGAGUUGUUUGGGAAUGCAGCUCUAAGUGGGUGGUAAAUUCCAUCUAAAGCUAAAUAUUGGCGAGAGACCGAUAGCGAACAAGUACAGUGAUGGAAAGAUGAAAAGAACUUUGAAAAGAGAGUGAAAAAGUACGUGAAAUUGUUGAAAGGGAAGGGCUUGAGAUCAGACUCGGUAUUUUGCGAUCCUAUCCUUCGUGGAGAGGUUUCACUUGCAGCUUACCGGGCCAGCAUCGGUUUGGAUGGUAGGAUAAUGACAUUGGAAUGUGGCUUUUCGGAGUGUUAUAGCCUUUGUUGAUACUGCCUAUCUAGACCGAGGACUGCGUCUUUGACUAGGAUGCUGGCAUAAUGAUCUUAAGCCGCCCGUCUUG